UACGAAGGGUGCAAGCGUUAAUCGGAAUUACUGGGCGUAAAGGGUGCGUAGGCGGUUAGUUAAGUUUCGUGUGAAAUCUUCGGGCUCAACUCGAAGCCUGCACGAAAUACUGCCGGGCUUGAGUGUGGGAGAGGUGAGUGGAAUUUCCGGUGUAGCGGUGAAAUGCGUAGAUAUCAGGAGGAACACCGGUGGCGAAGGCGGGUCUCUGGGCCGAUACUGACGCUGAGGAGCGAAAGCGUGGGGAGCGAACAGG
rnacentral:rRNA from 1 species